rnacentral:hammerhead_ribozyme from 1 species
AUUCAGAUGACGACUCCCAAAUAGGACAAAAUGCGCAUCCGGGAU